rnacentral:rRNA from 1 species
UCGAACGGGUCCUUCGGGACUAGUGGCGGACGGGUGAGUAACGCGUGGGAACAUGCCCUUUGGUACGGAAUAGCCUCGGGAAACUGGGAGUAAUACCGUAUGUGCCCCCCAAUCAAAUCUCAUUUGAUUGGUGACUCUUAGGAUUCAUCGAAUGCCAAGUGGCAUUUGAUGGGGGGGGAAAGAUUUAUCGCCAAAGGAUUGGCCCGCGUUGGAUUAGGUAGUUGGUGGGGUAACGGCCUACCAAGCCGACGAUCCAUAGCUGGUUUGAGAGGAUGAUCAGCCACACUGGGACUGAGACACGGCCCAGACUCCUACGGGAGGCAGCAGUGGGGAAUCUUAGACAAUGGGGGCAACCCUGAUCUAGCCAUGCCGCGUGAUCGAUGAAGGCCUUAGGGUUGUAAAGAUCUUUCAGUGGGGAAGAUAAUGACGGUACCCACAGAAGAAGCCCNNNCUAACUC